rnacentral:rRNA from 1 species
CAAUAGGAUAAUGCAGAUAAGGGAAUUCGGCAAAUUAGAUCCGUAACUUCGGGAAAAGGAUUGGCUCUGAGGAUUGGAUUCAAGGGCCCAUUCAUGAAAGCUUAGCUGUCUUGGAACUGCGGAGGCAACGAAGUGGCUCCAGGAUAGCGAACGCUGGAAUGGGUGGGACGUCUUCAUCGGCUUUCCUUGAAUAAUUAACAAUUAACUCAGAACUGAAGCGGACAAGGGGAAUCCGACUGUUUAAUAAAACAUAGCAUUGUGAUGGCCUGAAAAGGUGUUGACACAAUGUGAAUUCUGCCCAGUGCUUUGAAUGUCAAAGUGAAGAAAUUCAACCAAGCGCAGGUAAACGGCGGGAGUAACUAUGACUCUCUUAAGGUAGCCAAAUGCCUCGUCAUCUAAUUAGUGACGCGCAUGAAUGGAUCAAUGAGAUUCCCACUGUCCCUAUCUGCUACCUAGCGAACACACAGCCAAGGGAACAGGCUUGGAAUAAUCAGCGGGGAA